CGGGGUGUAGCGUAGCCUGGUAGCGCGCCUGCUUUGGGAGCAGGAUGUCGGGAGUUCGAAUCUCUCCACCCCGA
rfam:Gallionellales bacterium GWA2_60_142 gwa2_scaffold_915, whole genome shotgun sequence.